GCAGGGGAAACGUUCAGUCUGCCUGGGUUAUAUAUAGGUAGAUUCAUUGAUUUCGGAUCAGAAAAUUAUCAAUGUUCAUGGAUUCCCAGAACACAGCAGGGAGAAGUUUAUGUUAUGAACAUUUCUUAGCAACAAACCCUGUAAGAAGAAGGACGUCUGUUCUACAGCUUGUGGUGGAUUAUAGAACACAUGAUAUCAACCAAGUUUAAAGGAAGCAUGUAUAGCCACAUUAGAAAGAUUUAAGGAUUGUGAGAAACCAAAUAUGACAAAUCAGAAUAACUUCCAUGGGAGUGUGAAAAAAAAGAAUAGUAGAGUGUAAUCCUCAGGACUUUCUUCAGACUUCCAUAAAGUCAGGAAAUACUGUUGAACUGACAAAAUUAACAAAAAUCAUGAUUGUCAAAAAUUCAAGGAAGAUGUGCAAGUUAAGACUAAGACGGAUUUUAGGAGUUUUGAUGACAAAGAAUCAACCUUUGGAAAUAUGGCUUUAAACUUGGAUCUCUUUAUUGAUGCAUGCAUGAUGGUGGGCUGAAGAAGAAAACCAGGACAAAUGAAAAUUCCUAGUGUUCAUCAGAAAAAAUGAUCGAAUCAUGCAGCCAUUUUGAGUGCUUGAAUGCCCAACUGAGAGAGCCAGCCAAUGCGGAAAAUAUUUCUUGGAAGUUACACCAAAUCUGCUGUGACAAUUGAAUUAAAGCUUUAAAAGUACAUUUAAAAACAUACUGCCUUAAAAUUACAUUUGUAUAUGGUGUAAUUAUUUCAAGGAGAUACAACACACCUGGUUUAACAGUAAGGUCCAUAGCUAAACAUGGAUAUGGAA